CCUACGGGAGGCAGCAGUGGGGAAUAUUGCGCAAUGGGCGAAAGCCUGACGCAGCGACGCCGCGUGCGGGAUGAAGGUCUUCGGAUCGUAAACCUCUGUCAGUAGGGAAGAACCGUCACUGUGCUAAUCAGCAGUGAAUUGACGGUAUCUGCAAAGGAAGCACCGGCUAACGCCGUGCCAGCAGCCGCGGUAAUACGGAGGGUGCGAGCGUUGAUCGGAUUUACUGGGCGUAAAGCGCUCGUAGGCGGUAUGUCAAGUCUAGGGUGAAAUCCCCGCGCUCAACGUGGGAACUGCCUUGGAAACUGGCAAACUGGAGUGUGUGAGAGGAUAGUGGAAUUCGAGGUGUAGGGGUGAAAUGCGUAGAUAUCUGGAGGAACAUCAGUGGCGAAGGCGACUAUCUGGCACAUAACUGACGCUGAGGAGCGAAAGCGUGGGUAGCAAACAGGAUUAGAUACCCGAGUAGUC
rnacentral:rRNA from 1 species